AGUCAAUUCUCUCGAAUGGGGUUUGUUCGAGAGAUUUCAUAAUUUGUGACGGCUUCUGAUUCAUUUUCCGAGAUAACGAGAAUUUUCCAGAAUCUAUAUGGUUACUGAUGUGGAUUUCGUUUGCUAUUGUUGCAAGUAAUAGCUAAUGGUGCCAAUAUGAGUGAAAGUGGAUUUAAGGUGGAUCCUUCUUCUGUCAAUGCUUUGAAGGACCCUAAGAAGCGUCUAACAAAUUCUAUGGUUGCUAAAAGCGCAAGGGAAAAAAGACGAAAAAUUAUAGCGGAUAAAAAAACAAAACGAUGUCAAAAUUCUGAAUCUAAUCUAGUCUCCCCCAUUAAAGAAUCUAUCGGUACUCAUAUAGCAAGGGAAAAAAGGCGACGAAUUAUAGCGGCAAAAAAGGCAAUACGAUCACGAUGUACUACCUCUAAUCCAGUCUUCUCCAACAACAUUCAAAGCAGCCAACACACAAAAACCAAAGUACACAAAAAUUCAAGGUCAAUUGGUGGAAAACUACAAUAUGAUAUAAGUGAAGUACUGGAGCAGAAACCACAAGCGGAAAAUCGUCCUACGAAUGCCAAAAAGAAAUGAACAAGGAAUACAUUUAUUAGGUUCUAGUCAUUCGAUAUGGCUUUUACUUUGAAGCUAUAGUGGAAACCUCAAUCACUUAAGCUAAUUUCAGGAGAAAGAUGUUGAUCAACAAAGCAGAAGGAGAGCUGGAGCCAUCAAUGAUAGAUACUUAGAAAGGGAAUCUUCCAACCUCUCUGUUCUUUGUCUUAACAUACAUUGCUCCGGGAUGAUAAAUAAUCGCCACGGACUGGACCUUUGAAGAUCAACCAAUUCUCGAUAACGGCCUUGCUAGGUUAGUGUCGCGAUUGCAGCCACCAAUUUUGGAUCAGAAGUUUUGCCAUUGGCAGUAAAAGAUUACAAAGCACAAGCUCACCAGUCAGAUCAUUGGCCAAGUCCUUAUAUGUUAUGUAAACAAAUGCACUUUUGGCGUUGAGUCUCUCAUUUGGCGGUUCCACAUCUUCAAUAGUUUCUAUUGCCACUUUAACGAUCUUAAGUAGUAGUGGUAUGUGUACACUAUAUAAAGCUAAGAAAAACUGACAUAUGAAUGAUCUUUUCUUUUUAACCAGUUUUAUCAAUAUGAUUUUCUCCUAA